UAUUUUGGAUUAUUCUCAACUUUAUCCAUGAGAGCUAAAAAAUAUACAUUGAUUAUUUUUCUUAUAAAGUUCCUGCUGCUUUAAAUGAUAUCAAUAAUUUUUACACUCAUAAUGUUGGUGUGAGGUCUAGUUUUCUAAUCUUCCUAGCACUGUGAUGGUUCCUUGUAAAUAUCUGGACUGUGCUUAGUCCUUUAAUUUGCAGACACAAUC
rnacentral:lncRNA from 1 species